GCUAGGUGUGGUGGUGCAUGCCUGUAGUCCCAGCUACUUGGGAGGCUGAGGUGGGAGGAUCACUUGAGCCCAGGAAUUCUGGGCUAUAGGGUGCUAUGCCGAUCGGGUGUCUGCACUAAGUUCGGCAUCAAUAUGGUGACUUUCCAGAAGCAGGGGAGCACCAGGCUGCCUGAGGAGGGGUGAACUGGCCCAGGUCAGAAACAGAGCAGAUCAAAACUCCCAUGCUGAUCAGUAGUGGGAUUAUGCCUGUGAAUAGCCACUGCACGCCAUUCUGGGCAACAUAGCGAGACCUGGUCUCU
rnacentral:SRP_RNA from 1 species